rnacentral:rRNA from 1 species
ACAGCCAUAUCACAUUAAAACACCAGUUCUUGUACAAUCACCGAAGUUAAGCAACAUUGAGCCUAGUCAGUACCUAGAUGGGUGACCACUUGGGAAUACCAGGUGCUGUAAG